rnacentral:rRNA from 1 species
UACAGAGGGGGCAAGCGUUGUUCGGAAUUACUGGGCGUAAAGGGCGCGUAGGCGGCCUUCUAAGUCGGACGUGAAAUCCCUGGGCUCAACCCAGGAACUGCGUCCGAUACUGGGAGGCUUGAAUCCGGGAGAGGGAUGUGGAAUUCCAGGUGUAGCGGUGAAAUGCGUAGAUAUCUGGAGGAACACCGGUGGCGAAGGCGGCAUCCUGGACCGGUAUUGACGCUGAUGCGCGAAAGCCAGGGGAGCAAACGGG